ACUCCGGGGCUGCCGGCAAGACUGUCGGACUCGAGCACGGUAGAGGCAGAUGGAAUUCCCGGUGUAGCGGUGGAAUGCGUAGAUAUCGGGAAGAAUACCAGUGGCGAAGGCGUUCUGCUGGGCCGUUGCUGACGCUGAGGCGCGACAGCGUGGGGAGCAAACAGGAUUAGAUACCCUGGUAGUCCACGCCGUAAACGAUGGACACUAGGCGUCGGGGGGAGCGACCCUCCCGGUGCCGUCGCUAACGCAGUAAGUGUCCCGCCUGGGGAGUACGGCCGCAAGGCUGAAACUCAAAGGAAUUGACGGGGGCCCGCACAAGCAGUGGAGCAUGUGGUUUAAUUCGAAGCAACGCGAAGAACCUUACCUGGGCUUGACAUGCUGGUGAAAGCCGGUGGAAACAUCGGCCCCUCUU
rnacentral:rRNA from 1 species